rnacentral:antisense_RNA from 1 species
AUGGAAAUGUGUGGAAAAUAGAAGAACCAAAACAACUUUAUUUAUUUAUUUAUUUAUUUUUGAGACAGAGUUUCGCUCUUAUUGCCCAGGCUGGAGUGCAAUGGUGUGAUCUCGGCUCACUGCAACCUCCACCUACCAGGUUCAAGCGAUUCUCCUGCCUCAGCCUCCCAAGUAGCUGGGAUUAUAGGUGCCCACCACCACACCUGGCUAAUUUUGUAGUAUUAGUAGAGACAGGGUUUCUCCAUGUUGGUCAGACUGUUCCUGAACUCCUGACCUCAGGUGAUCCACCGCCUCGGCCUCCCUAAGUGCUGGGAUUACAGGCGUGAGCCACCAUGCCCAGCCGACUAUGGUUUUUAAAAGUAAAAUCCUUCAGACCUUCCUGGGGGCAAAUAAUAAAUGCCAAGAUGUGGUGACCCAGAAGACAGGCCUGUCCCUCGGUCACCGCAGGAUCCCUUCUCUGGACAUUGAGGCUUCUUGGAGGAGAGCAAGUGUCUGGUCCGCAGGCAGGAUGUCUGAUACGAGGAACCCACGGUGACUCCACCCUGCAGACCGGGCCACAGAGGCAGCUUCUCCGGGGCCACUUGGCUCUGAGGUGAGUUUCUAAUGGGAAAAGAAGGCUUGUCUGUGGGUUGGAGAAAUAAGCCCAAAUCCCCUUUCUGGGACCUGAUGUUCAGCUUUCAUGUCAAUGCACACAUCCCAGAAACGGGGGCCAGCCAGAGACUCCAGUAAGUGGGCUACCCCUCAGGGUCUCCCUAGGUCCGGCAUGGGCUCUGGCUCUUCGAGGAUCUUCCUAGAGAAAGGCACCGUGAUCAGGCCAGUGGCCCGAGGGGACAGGCUCAGGAACCGGCUCCUAGCUGGCUGCACGGGGGAAGGGGUUGGGGGAAGAGGGGCAGGCCCUUACUCCUCACUUCCACCCCUGCCCCGCCCCAGUCUACACAUUUGGGAAGCAAGGCUGGGAGAGACCCAGCCGCCUGGCCUGCAGCCCACAUCCACCCCCGUGGGACCAGAGAACCCACAGAGGGGCGCCCAGAACACCUGGGACACAGAGGCGUUUUUCUGGGUAUAGCCAGGCACACAUCCAGCUGCAGAGGCCCUAGGAACGGGGCUCAGGGUGGAGCCUGAGUGCCCUGAGGCAGCUUCUGGGGGUCUUCAAAAGAGGACCCAUCUCCUGGACACACAGAACUCACUUCGCCCAUGCAAAGCCUGGGGCCCAGUCCUGACGGCUUAGGAGCAAAGAGACUUUGGGAGUUAUGGUAAAAUUGGGGAUACUAACAGCUUCCUUGCAGGCCUGUCAGGAGGACCGGAUUAGAUAGGCACCCCUAAGCAUCUUCCCAUGUGUGAAGGGGGCGCUCAGAGCCCUGAUGUCCUUUUCCUAUUUGUUCCCCGCAGGAGUGGGGUGACCAGAAGAUUCUGGGUCUACCAGAUUUUGAAAAAAGGCAGAGAGCAUAGAGAGACGGAGACAGCCUGGAGAGCCAGCCAGCAGAACUCUGCACAUCUCUAUUCUUUACCUCCCACCUCAUGCCCUGCUGUGCCCGGGGUCGUGGACCAGCAGAGCGUGGGCAGGAGACCACGUUCACGGUGUGGGCUCCUCACUAUCAUCCCAGAGUCUCCCCUCACGAGCACCCCGGCUGCAGGGUGUAACCUGAGGCCCUAGCAGGGCCCAUGGAGCUUGUGCCGCUUUUCCCCGUGGGCCCUGAUGUAACAUUUCUCAUCCAGGAAGAGGAUGGAAAGUGAGGCCCCUCUCCACACUGCACCUGCCACCCUGGGGCUCCCCACCCACCUGCGUAGGAGGGAGGAGCAGGGGACACCCUCGGGAGAGCGUUUCCUUUAAAAAUAUCAGACCACGAACCAGGGUCCAAUGGGGCGGCCCCAGAGGCAGUGGGAGGAAAAGCGGAGCUCGAUCUGGGUUUCGGCCCCAGCAAGUCCCCUCCCCCGGUUGACCCAAAUUUCCCACUAUAAAGUGAAGGCGGGAGCUGGACUCCAACUUGCUGAGGAAAUCUGGCCGCCACACGGCGGGCUGAGGUGGAAGGUGUCAUCGGCCAUCCUCGUGAUUUUGAUAUUCACCUUGGACCCUUAUGGGAACCUCUUUCCCUAGUUUGCCACCAGCUCUGCCUCUCCCUCACCCACCUGUGACCCAAGCACAUUCUCGUGACCUCUCUGAGCCUCAGUUUCCCUAUCUGUCAAGUCGAGAUCACAGCACUGACCUCCAGGGCUCACUGGGAAGUGGGGAUGAGGUGGUGCGCAUUGCGGUGGCUGGCACCGGCCAUGAGCUCAGAACACGGCGGCCAGAGCUAUCCGCCAGCAACUUGUAAGCCAAAGCCCUCACCGGGCUGCCUGCCAGCUGUCAGAGACCAAGCUCCAGGUGACCCCUCCACCGAGAGCAGUUCCCCCUUCCCCCUUCUGAGCACCAGGCAGGUCCACAGCCACCCUGCUCCGGAGUGGGUCCCAGGUGGCAGGCGGGGGUAGAGAGGAUUCAGGGUGCUGCCUUCUGUCCUUCACACCCUGCAAGGGGCCCCUUCCAAUCAGAAGCUGUUUCCAUGGCAACCCUGCUGGGCCCCAUCCUUGCCUUUGCAGCCAAAGACUCCGCCUCGGGCCGGCCUCGCCACUGUCCCUCCUUGAAGGCGUGAUUGGUCUCUUCUCCCCUGUGAAUAUGUCCAACACGUUUGAACAGAGUCACUUCUCACAGCCCAUCCUCAAAGCCAGCACCGGGGCCCAACACCCCGCCCCCCAUGCGUCACCCCUCACUCAGCUGUGGCCCCGCCUGCCCAGCAGGGCAGAUUGCCUGGCAAGCAGUCAGCUCGUAAUUAGCACUCAUUAGCGCUCCAGCAAUCUGCAGACAAGUCACCUGUGGCCAAGUCCCUUCUGAACGAUUGCAGUGAUUCCCGUGGGUUUCAAACAUCAAAGGAUGCGGAGAUGAGCAAGAGGCAGGCAGCGCCCUUUGUGUGUAUUUCUGCCCCUUCCCUCUCUUGCACCCCAGAAAGUUCUCAUCUGUGGAAUGGGCCGGCAGGGAGGGUGGCUGAGGUGGCACUCACAGCAGGCCUGGGGAGCUGGAUGGGGCUGGGUCCUGGCCUCCCAGCCAGCUGCCCUGCCUGAGAAAGCAUCUCUGCAAACACGGUGUGUCCACGAGGUCCCUGCAGGAGGACACUCACAUCCAGCCAGAAGAUGAGGCUGCUGUGCCGGUGGCUAAGGCCCUCCAGUGCCGGGGCUGGAGGAACUGCAGGUGGUGUAAGCAGAGGGGGUGUCAUCCUCGGGGAGCUCACAGCCUGGGGAGAGGCAGAGGGGUCUUGGGGUAGACUCAGGCCCCAG